GCCUGGGAGUCCUCAGGCCUGAGGCCAAGGCCAUGCUGGUCCAGCGCUGUCUGUUGCAGUUGUCGCAAGGCAUGCUUUGCUUGCCCUCCUUCCCAGAUGACCCGGCUUCGGGCAUGCGCAGGGGCCCUGUCUCUCCUGAAGCCAGGUGCUUGUGGAGCGCGUAGCUGCCGUGUUUGCUUGUUUGCGUCACAUUGAGGAAAGGUGGCUUUAAUAGCAGUGGGAGAGUUCACCACACACAUGGGACUUCUCCAAGAGCCAUACUGAAUACGGGGUCCCAAGCUGCAGCCACCACCUCUGCUGACGCUCCUGCUGGCACAGCCUCUCUCGGGAGGGGAAGAGUGUGUUCAGUUCCAACUAAUAUCAUUAAAUAAACAAGUCCUGGAUUCAGCCAUCAGGCCAUCAGGCAGAGGAUUGCGAUUCCGUGAAUGCAGGUGAUAACAGGGCCUGUAUACUGGUGUUGGUAAGGCUGAAGUCUGGCUCCUGGCAGCCCCGCCAAGUCCAGGUUUGGCUGCUGUCCUCAAGCAGGCCAAUCCAGAGAGGCAAAACUAAGCGAAAAGGGAAGAAAGUAGACUUAUCCAAUGAGGCCCUGAUGGGAAGAGGAGCAAAGACAUCGCGUGGUGAAGAUUUGAGGUCCAGGUUUAAAUAGAGGCGGGCAAGAGUUAAUUCACAGCCAAGCCAGCCUGUCCUGUAAGGUGGUCUCCUGAGGACCGUAUGGAAUCUCUCUGGAGACCUAAGUUCCCUCUCUGGCUGGUCCUGGCCUUCAGCUUUUUCCUUUUCUCAGUAUGAGGUACCUGAGUAAAUCUCAACUCCCUGGGGAGCCUCUUUAAAGAGCCUAUUAGCCAAAAGGAAGCAGGUGUACAGGUGAGU